AUGAGGAUCCCUAUUUCACGUUACCAUUGAUCCUGAAAUCAACCAAGGCUGAGUCAGAUGGAUUUCGAUCAAUGGAACCCUUCCUCUCCAGCUCUGGCCACUCCUGGGUGCCCCUUGGGGUUCACUGUCAUGGCAACGGGUCUGUGGAGUGGUGUGGAAGCCGAUCGGGGAAGCUAGGCAGCCAGAACGCUGCCUGGCCUGCCGGCGCCACAGCCAAGGAGGGCGGCCACCUGAUUAAUGCCUGCCUGAUCCAUUGGCCUCAUCUCAGGCCACCCUGGUAGAAGCUUCUUGCUCAGGGAGGGAUGGAGCGUCACUCCUUGGGAUGUGCCAGGACCCUGGUCAGUGGGCACAGUUACAGGUGCCGCAGAGUCUUAGAACUGCCCAAGCAAAAUAUCAGAGCUGAAAGGGACCCUGGAGAUUUGGUAUUCCAGGCGCCUCUCUUUAUGGCUGAACAAAGAAUACAUGGGUAACGAAUGCUUACAGUGUGCCCAACACAGUAUGAAGCUCUUUCCCCACAGGUUAAUUUCUACAAUAACCCCGUGGAAUAAGUAUAAUUAUCCCCAUCAGGGAGGUAGAAACCAGGGCUCAGAGAUAUGAAAUAUUUUGUUCAUGACACACGACGUAUAUUUGCACCCAGGACUUUCCUGUUCCUAUGUUCUUUCUACCGUCUCACUUUACUGAUUGUUUGUCCAGUGCUCUGGAACUUACCUAUCUCAUCCCUGGCUGUAUUUCCUAUGCUUGCACAGUGCCUCACGUGUCUUAGGGUUUUGGUAAAAGAUUGUGGAAUAAAUGAAUUGCUG
rnacentral:lncRNA from 10 species